rfam:Ovis aries breed Texel chromosome 1, whole genome shotgun sequence.
UCCCUGGUGGCUAAGAGGGUAAAGCGUCUGCCUGCAAUGCGGUAGACCUGGGUUCAAUCCCUGGGUCGGGAA